CAGAGAGGUAGAGCCACAGCUCGGAGAAGUAAUUCAGACGAACCACCACCGCAGUUGCGCUCCACACCCGCCCUUGCCUACCCGCCGACGCACCGGGAAGAGAGAGGACACCAUGAGAAAGAGACAGGGGAGAGGGCAGCAGAGACCUCGACCUGCGCCGCCGGCCCUUGGUUGGGCGGCGGAGAUGAGACACGCGCGCUGGCUCCAAUGGCGAGCGUCAUGGAGGUGUUCGACAAAAUGUCUUUAAGAGGCCAAGGCGUGUGCUACGCUGGAGUCGUGACUACGUGAUCCUGGAGGUGGUGAAGUCACCCUUACCACGAAGGAAACAGAGGCCAAUUAGGCGCUUCUUGCCCUAUCAUGAACUAAUUCAUUGCUUGUUUCUAAUAUUGAUUGCUUAUUCACAUGUUGUAUGAUCUACCCAUAAUUAUCCAUUACCGUACAAUUAGGCGUAUAUGCAUCGUCAUGGAUGAAUUGAAUUUGAUGGUUUGUUUACACGAUGACGACGACAGGGUCUUAUUGGACGAUUUGGCUCCUCAAACAAGAGGACCACUACCGUACUCAAACACGCCUAUGGCAUCCUCAAACCAUCCAGGAUGACUCUUCUUCUUGGACCUCCUUCUUCAGGGAAGAGCACGCUUAUGCGAGCCCUUACAGGGAAGCUUGAAAAAAGCCUCAAGGUAUCUGGCAGCAUCACAUAUUGUUGUCAUACUUUUUCCGAGUUCUACCCUGAGAGGACCAGUGCGUAUGUCAGUCAGUAUGAUCUCCACAAUGCGGAGAUGACUGUAAGAGAGACAUUAGAUUUCUCCAGGCGAUGCUUGGGUAUCGGUGCCAGAUAUGACAUGCUUGCGGAG